UGAUCAAUAUUUUUACCAGUAAUAUCAAUAAGAACCAAAAGUUGACAUGAUGUUAAUAGAAUGGUCUAAGCAACAAUAGCUGUCCACUAAAAUAUAUCCCUCUUUUAGGUGUUGUGGCAUUGCUCUUCUUGGAAAAUAGUUUAAAGCCUUGUCCGGUUUAAGGUCAAAAUUUCUAAAUACUCAAAUCUCCACGAUCUUAAUUGGUGACCAACAUUGAGAUGAAUUGAAAUUUUAAUUUAUGUUGCUAAAGAUUGAAAGCAAAAAAUUUUGAAAAGAUCCUUUAUUUUCCUAUAUCUCAUCGGAUAGCUAGGAAUAGGAUAUUGAAAUGUGGGUAAUAUUUGUAUUUGACAUUAUCAACUUUUUUUUAAGCAUUAAUUUUGAACUUCUUAGUUAUAGACACAUUUAAAAUAAGAAUUUGAUUGCAUCGGCUGAUAUUUUAGGAUUGUAUUUUAUGUGCCUGAGAUAGUAGGAGAUGAGAUAUUCUAGCUUUGACAUUGAGUGUCCAAUAAUAAAAUAAACUGAGAUCUAGAUCAGGAUAAAAAUCUUUCUCAAUAAUAAUACAUAUUUAGCCCAUUUUACCCAUCCUUAUUUCAUUUAUUUAGCCAAAUGGUCACCAUUGAUCCCAAGUUAGGGCGUCUUCAAAGCGGGUAGAAUGAAGGUUUCAAAGAGUUUGACAACCAUGAUUUGCUUUACUCGGGUCACUAAGCUAAUCUACAAUCUAACCAAAAUAGUAGAAUAGAUUGAACCAAGUUAACUCUUUCAUUUAUUUAAAAAGGUUCACAUAAAUCCCUUACAAAAAAUUCAUGUAAAUGAUUUAUGUAAUUUUAGUAUCCCUAUACCAAGCAAAGUAUUAAUUUUAUUUAGUAACUUAAAAUAAAAUAGGUGAAUUAAAAAGUCAGCUUGAAUGAACUCAUGACCUCAACAACAAUAUCAACUAAUUUAGUGUGUAAUGGAUAUUAGGUGCACUAAAAAUGAGUCAUGUUUUAAUUAAGGUGGAAGUACAAGUUAGACCAAUUAAAGUGUAAAAUCAAAUAUUAGAUCACUAAAUUCAAUAUUUUACUUUUUGUCAAAAAAAUAGUGCUUGUGGUGGAAGAAUUAUCAUCACAUUGAUUGAUUUUUUGUUGAAGCUUCUUAAUAUGAAAAGUUUAUAUACGUAGAAGAAAGCAAAGUGAUAGUAAUUACAAGUCAAAGUAAAAGAAGAAGCAUGUUGAUGUUAAUAGAUUUGUUUAAGUAAUUGAAUAUUUGUUGUAGAUAAUCUUAAAGAAGGAAAAAAGAUGCUAUUGUAAAAUUGGUUGGAAAAAAAGAGAAGAAGAAGUGUUAGCACCUAUUGAUCGUCUAUUUCUUUAAGUUUUGGAAUAUAUGCCAAAGAUGCUAUUGUAUAUUUGGUUGGAAAUGCACAUCAUGUUUCCCAUCUACUCGUACUUAGAAAAGUCAAAAGGAAGUAUAUAUAAGCUUAAUUACAAACUAUGUUGAGCUUUACUAAAUGGUAAGUCUUUUAUUUUGAUAAAAAUU
rnacentral:lncRNA from 1 species